AGAUGAGCUAAAACCAGCUUGAGAUCUGAGCAGGGACCCACCGAAGGUCAGGCUAUUUCAGCUGCUGUCCGUUCUCAGAAUACUCGUUUUUUGCUAUCAGGAAAUCCUAGGAGUAAACGUCAUGCAUGGGAAGAAGCUGAAGCUUGGACAUCAUUGGACCUUUCAGCAAGUCAAUGAUCCAAGCAUACCUCAAAUUCCACCAAGGCUUGUUUGCAGGCAUCACAGUCACCUGACUUGAACCCCAUAGAAAAUCUCUGGUGGGAUUUGUAGAAGUCAGUUAUUAUUACUGAACUGAAG